CAAAUCUUAAUAGGAAUUUAUAAACUAUAACCCUAAUAGAAGUCAAUUUGGAAAAGAAUUCUAAUUAAAAAAAGAAAUCAUAAUUACAAUAGAAUUAUAAAAAUCUAAAAAUCCUUGCUGAAUAUGUAAUUCGUGAGCUUAGUAAGAGCAUAAUUGGGCUUGUAUUAAAUUGACCCAAAUUUGUGUCUCAUCCUUCUCUUUGGGUUUUCUUGUGUUAGCUUCAGCCCAAACAUUUUGGAUCAAUCCAUUGAGAUCUUGUUUGAACCUUUUAAUUCUAGCCUUGCGUGAUCCCCACGUCCCUUUAGUCUUGUUUGAGUCCACGUAUGCCAUGUCCUCAUCACUCCUUUGCUUUCGUACGUAUACCAAUUGAUAUUAUCCUAGAAAACCAGUUUCAACACAGGCUGGCAUAUAGAUAGGAGGACACAACAAGCCCUCUCGACUGUUGCAGAGAGGAUCUAUACUGGGAUCACAGAAGAUCAAGUUGUCAGAGAGGGAAAAUCUGAAUUAAAAUAAGAAUCUUCUCUCACACCUUAUUUGUUCAAAGAACUUCUUAGUCACUUUGAGAUUAUGGCAGUGCCAAUGUAGACUAACACUCGUGGACCCAAACAAUCUGGCACCUAGGAUCUUGAACAUGGUGAAAAUGCAAAAGCACACAUACUCACAUGCACACACUAUUUUACGUAUCCAAGCCCAAUCCCAAUCCCAAUCCCCUCAACAUAACUCACCAGGGUCUGAAGAUUAGCACCAAAUCCAAUCAAUCUAACCUUAUUUCUCAAUUUGUGCAGUAUAGACGAUUGUAUCAUAAGAAGAACAGGCAAGUCACCCUUGAUGUUUUCCAACAAGGAAUAAGAGCAUUUCGGGUUUAAGAAAAACAUGAAACAGCAAAGCAGGUUUUGUAAUCAAAACACAAGAUGCUGAUGCAUGUAUACUAUGAUCAAUAAAGAAAAAAUAAAGUUAAGCAUAGAAGGAUAAUAGGGAUCUUUAACAUUUUUCUUGCAGUAUGUUGAAGAAGAUGGUCCCAGAAAGGCCACAUUCACCAUGAUGGACUUCUAAAGUAGUAGAAUUUUCACCACAACCAAUGAUAUAUAUUGUUUGUUCUUCUUUACCAAUAAAAAAAAAGUGGCUGAUAAAUGUUGAAUAACUCAAAUAUCUAGAUUCAAUGGCCAACAGUCAUCAACUCAUCAUUUUCGAUACAGUCAAUCUGCAUCUCUAAGAUACCAAAAGAGACUUUGGAGUUUGGACAAAUUUGAAAACCCGAGCACAUGCUCUGUAAAAGUGACAGUACACAUCAUUUUUACUAGGUAAAACUCCAGCAUGCCGUCCAACUUGAAUGAAACCCAUUGACAGUGGUGAUUAUAUGAUCUGUAAACUCUGAGCAAGUUUUGCAAUUUUAAGCCCUAUUAUGAAUAUUAAUUAGGUUAUGUUUCAGGGAUAAGCUUUAAAUGAAAAACCAUAAUAUACAACCGUAAUUGUAAUAUAGUACAAGCCCCCCAGAACCGUGAUUCCACAGGAACAAAAUGAAAAAAACUAGUUUCUUUAUCUAAAUCAACUAGUUAUUUGAAUGCUCUGAAAGUUAUUGACACUUGAUUUUAUUAGGUAUUACAAUUUGGUACGACCUGGAUCUUCGUCUUGCCAUUUCACUGUACAGAACAUCAUUGAGCUACAUUUGUAGAAGACCUCUAACAAUUAGAAAUAAUCAUGUAAUGAAGUGAAAUUAUACACUUAAAUUAAGAAGUAAAGUUUUUUUUUCCCUUCUUGUUGAAAUCAUGUAUAUAUUUGUACAUAUAAACGCAGGAUUUAGGAUGUAUUGAUAAGUUCAAAUAGAUGUAUAAAUGUGGUAUACGUAUAUCAAUAUGAACCAGAGAGAUACUAACCUGAGGUGGUUAGGGCUUUGAAUCGCCGGAACUUACUACGACCUUAGUCUGAUCUGAGAGGGUAGCCGGGGGUCAUAGUUAAUAGUUAUGAAUUGGGCUGGGCUAUCAUUGUAUCCAUGACCAACCCAAAUAGAUUAAUGGGUUCCGUGCUUUGAUCCACUAAAAUUAGAUGGGUAAUUCCGGUCAAAUUCUGCCGAGAAAAU
rnacentral:lncRNA from 1 species